rnacentral:rRNA from 1 species
AUUGAACGCUGGCGGCAGGCCUAACACAUGCAAGUCGAGCGGAUGAAGGGAGCUUGCUCCUGGAUUCAGCGGCGGACGGGUGAGUAAUGCCUAGGAAUCUGCCUGGUAGUGGGGGAUAACGUCCGGAAACGGGCGCUAAUACCGCAUACGUCCUGAGGGAGAAAGUGGGGGAUCUUCGGACCUCACGCUAUUAGAUGAGCCUAGGUCGGAUUAGCUAGUUGGUGGGGUAAAGGCCUACCAAGGCGACGAUCCGUAACUGGUCUGAGAGGAUGAUCAGUCACACUGGAACUGAGACACGGUCCAGACUCCUACGGGAGGCAGCAGUGGGGAAUAUUGGACAAUGGGCGAAAGCCUGAUCCAGCCAUGCCGCGUGUGUGAAGAAGGUCUUCGGAUUGUAAAGCACUUUAAGUUGGGAGGAAGAACAGUAAGUUAAUACCUUGCUGUUUUGACGUUACCAACAGAAUAAGCACCGGCUAACUUCGUG